GGAAGACAAUGUUUUUAUCAGAAGAGUCAAAGAAGCUCACUGCAUAUCACGAGAGUGGCCACGCAAUUGUUGCAUUUAACACCGAGGGUGCGCACCCGGUUCAUAAGGCAACAAUCAUGCCUCGUGGAUCUGCUCUAGGAAUGGUCACACAACUUCCUUCAAGUGACGAGACAUCUAUUAGCAAGAAGCAACUAUUAGCACGACUUGACGUUUGUAUGGGAGGAAGAGUUGCCGAGGAGAUCAUAUUUGGUCAGGACCAUAUUACCACUGGAGCGAGCAGUGAUCUCAACACAGCUACGGAGCUUGCCCAAUAUAUGGUAUCGAGU
rnacentral:misc_RNA from 1 species